rnacentral:rRNA from 1 species
GACGAACGCUGGCGGCGUGCUUAACACAUGCAAGUCGAACGGAAAGACCCUGCUUUUGUGGGGUGCUCGAGUGGCGAACGGGUGAGUAACACGUGAGUAACCUGCCCUUGACUUUGGGAUAACUUCAGGAAACUGGGGCUAAUACCGGAUAGGAGCUCCUGCUGCAUGGUGGGGGUUGGAAAGUUUCGGCGGUUGGGGAUGGACUCGCGGCUUAUCAGCUUGUUGGUGGGGUAGUGGCUUACCAAGGCUUUGACGGGUAGCCGGCCUGAGAGGGUGACCGGCCACAUUGGGACUGAGAUACGGCCCAGACUCCUACGGGAGGCAGCAGUGGGGAAUAUUGCACAAUGGGCGGAAGCCUGAUGCAGCAACGCCGCGUGCGGGAUGACGGCCUUCGGGUUGUAAACCGCUUUCGCCUGUGACGAAGCGUGAGUGACGGUAAUGGGUAAAGAAGCAUCGGCUAACUACGUG